ACACCAUCUGGCGAGUCGCCUUUCAACCUGAACAGACGAUAUCCACCGUUCAAAAAAAAAACACAGCACUUGUUUACCAGUUCGUGUUCACAACAAAUUUGUAUUCGCAAGAAAACAAAAAACGAAUUUAAACGAAGAUAGGAUUCUCAUCGAUUCACCAUGCUGCGGAAGUCAUUCUCUCAUGUGUUAAAUGUUCACAAGAAAUCAGGAAAUAGGUGGAGUAAAACCAUACUGGCUCGCCUUAACACUAAACCAGAAGAAAUAGAAGACAUGCAAAAUUCUCUUGGUCAACAAGUUUGGGAGGAUUCUCUACGGAAGUUUCAAGAUUUGGGUUUCUCUUUGAAGCAAACUACAAAAAUGCUUCUUGACAAUCCACUGUUACCAAGCUAUCAGACUGAUAAGCUAUGCCACAGCUUUGACGUGUUGAAAUCUGUUGGUUUUAAAACCGAAGAAAUUAAAGAAGUUCUUGUUCAGGAACCCAAAAUCUUUGAUCGUGAUCCUCGAAUAUUGAAGAAGAACCAUUUAAAUUUAACAAAGCAGUUAGGCGACCAUCAAGGAAGAAUUGCAGCACUUGCUGCACCCAACACCUUGAUUGACAACAGUUUAAUCACUAACCAAAAAAUUGACUAUUGCAUUAUGGAGAUGUUGAUCAACAAACCUACUAUUGCCAAAUCAAAAAUUCUCAAGUGCCCUUACAUCUUGAUUAAGACCCGGCAUAAGUUUGCCUAUAGGUCAGGCUUCUAUAAGAAAAUCGAUCCAAAGAACAAAGAAGGAUUGGCAAAUAAUCCAAGUAUUCCUGACCUAUUUUUUUCUUCUGACAAAAUUUUUCUGUCCCAAUUCAAAGGCUUUAGUCUUGAAGACUAUGUCGUUUUCGAAGAGAUGAUGAUGAGUGAAGAAGAUAGUUUCAAUGAUGAAAAUGAGAAGGCCGAUGACAAAGACGACCAGACAGAUGAAGAUCCAGAUGAUGAAAAUGUUUCAAAAGGAAAAAAAAACUACUCUCGUCGCAAAUAAUUUUGUUCAUAGCAUAGAACUUUUCAAAUUAAGGAUUAAAUACAACAUUGGUAACCACUAACCAGCAAAAAAGCUUGGGUGUGUUGUAUUAAACAGUAGUUUCAGACGAACAAAGCUGAACAAUUUUGAAACAAAGACUGGCGAACUAUUUUUAAAAAAUGGAAUGCAAAAAAUGUUUAGCCUACCCCAAAAAUUCGGAAUUUCAACAACAGUGGGCGAACGACUUCUUCACAAUUAAGCUUUUAAUUCAACGAAUUAGGAUUCGGUAUUCUACUGCUUGCCAUUGUUCAAAUCUGCGAAAAAAGAACAAGUUGAUUAUCGAUACAGCUGUCUAUUAAGUAUAAAAUGUUUUACUAACGGGAUUUAGAAGUUGAUUUAUCCGAUCGUUUGGCUUUGGUUUCAGUAAUUUUUUUAUGUUUCUUUUGCUGAUGGUGGCGGGGUGUAUACUUCUUUCCUGGUUUUGUUGGGCGAUUUAACUUGGUUUUUUUCGUUGUCCUUAAUUGAGAAUGGUGGGUAGGAGUGAGCGUCGGGCCAGUAUGGUGAGUCGUAGUGGACACCUUACGCUCUGCCGGAACUGGACUUUUGGUCGAGGUUUUACGGCUACUGGUAGUUGCUGUAGCUGGAGUAGAACGAACUGCCCUCGGAUGCCGACCAGCUACUUUGAAUCCUUCUUCCGCUAAAAAUCAAUUAAUUUACCCAAUGAUGCUGGCAGUGGAUGCAGUGACUCUUCCAUUGGCCAUAGGAGAACAGGUAUAAAACGCUGGGAACCACCAACAUCGUCAUUAUUUGUAGGUUAUUUCCACAUCAAUCACAGCGUGUAAAGGAAACAACGCCAGCACUACAAAAAAAAAAACAUUAGAAAAGAGAAGAUCGAGUUGAAAACCGCGAGUAAAACCUCUACCCAACCAUCAUAUGUGUCAAGUCCACCUUCCUGCCUUGUAAGUUGACGCAGGCUGCUUCCCGGAAAGUUGAUGGUUUCAAGUAACAGUGGCCGUGUCACUCCCUUUUCCACUGAAUAAGAAUAGAAGAGAGGGCAUCUACAUUUUCAUUGAGCGUGAAACCGUAACCGUGGACGUUAGCAAACAUAACAUUUGAUAGCGCUGCUGCUGGAAUCAGAUCCGUUUUGGAUUUGACAGCAGAUAGACGCAGUACCUAUUUUGAAGACUUAAAAAUGGCUUUUUUACGGGGAUAUCCGACAGAAGUGAAGGUUUCCUUAUCCAAGCAAUUAAUUUGUACUGCUGCGGUCAUUCAAGCGAUUCCAUUCAACAUUCCACAUCGCAUUAUUCUCUUAUCUUAAAUAGAAAAAAAAAAUUAUUGCCAUCAUUGCUGCAUUCAAAAGACUACCAUCGUGUCAUUUUAACGUUAAUUAGGCAUGCCAAUAAAAGCAUUGUUUUUAUGUUUUUUUUCCCUUCAUUGUGAAAAAUUCCGUCUGACCCUGAUGUAAUCGCAAAGUCAAGAGCUCUAGAACCAAAAAGAAAGCCAGUCGACGAAUAAGCGGAAUGGGUCACCUUGCAGUAGUCAUUCUAGCAUCCCGUGCGCAAAGUCACGUCCUUGGAGUUCACUAUCUCUGCCCGCUUUAAAUAGAUGACUUUUGUAAACAAUGUUGCUGCAGACUGUCAGACGUGACUUAUCAAGCAGGCAUAUAAUUACUUUCUUCUUCUUCUUAACUUGGCGACUCAAAAUUUAUGGAGAAUAGGGAGAAAAUUGCUUUACCGAGAUUGCUGUCGUAAAAUCCUAUAGAAUAACUGUUACUAAAAGCCAGGCAAGUACAAUUUAUAAUAAGCUAAUACCAAUUGGACGUCUAGGAAAGUAUACCUAAAUAAUCUUGGGUUUCUUGAGUUUCGUCUGGACAGUUGCUGCAUUCUGGCAAGAAAAUUUUUGAUUUUAGACAAUUGAAACAAUGCCAAGAAUAAGCUAAAGCUAUUCUGAAUCACAACAUAAUAUGCUUUGAACAUCAAGCUAUAAAAUCUUGAUAAACUGGAUAUUUGAUGGUAUUUAUAGCUUAUUGGAAAACAAAAUGCCGGAACUUGGUAUUGUCAUCGCUUUUUCACCUAUACACGAGUUGGUAUGUUGGUAAAAAAAACCUUACAUAAAAUAAAAAAUUUAAUUAGUAUUAACUGUGUAACUUGUUGCGAGCAAAAAAACACUUUCGCGACCAUCUGUAUUUCCAAAUGCAUUCAUAUGUAAAUUUUUGGCAACACAUCUAAUUUGCCGAAACAUAAAUCCGAUAAGCCUUUGGAUUUGAACAAAAGAAUGACAAAACGUAGUACAUGAGAAACCCGCAGACAACAAAAAUACAUGGAAUUACUUGGUA